CCAGCCUAGCCUCCUUCCCUACCGUCUCCUGCCGCCGCGCCCCUCCAAUAGCGUUGUCCCUUGCCCUCGCGCACCCCGUGCUCCUCGUCGUCUUCACCAGCCCAGGAGGCAGGAAGCUACCCAUAGCCAGCCUCGUCUUCUCGGCUAAAUCCUUCUUCGGCGCGCCGCUGGCCGCCACUACGGCCUCCGUCGCUUUGUUUCUCCUGCGCCAGUGGCUGUCUCCAGCUCUUUCGAGGUCGUCACUGCGGGGAAGAAGGGGCCUUUCCGACCAAAUCCUUCUUUGGCGCGCUCAAGUUGCUCGACCGAAUGUCUAGCCUAGCCUUGGACGGCUGCUCGGACACAUCCGCUACGACUUCGACUUUGGCACUGGAGCACCAGACUAGUGCCAUCCUCGUCGAGAUCGACAAGCGCUUCAACGCGAUCGACUCCAAGUGGGCGUACUACCCCUGCGACCUCGUCGUCGUUCAGUACCUCGCCGACACGCUCGUCGACGCCAAUGCGUUUGACCGACACGUCCACAACCUCUCCUGUUUCUCUGCGAUCGGUCCCGACGAGGCCGAGUCUGUGUACCAGAUCCUGGGCAUCCUCCUGCAGCACAACCUCGCCAAUCAAAAGCGCUUCGACCAGAUCAAUGGAGUCGACGCCCCGCUCCAGGUGGUUGAUGUGUACACAUCUAGGGACCCAAAGACCCCCGAUGAGGAGGAGAAGCUCGAGAACAUCUUCCACUGUCUCUGCGUCGACAUGCUCGUCAGCAUCAUCUGCUCAACAGGCUACACCAUCACUCCCCUUCCUCCGCGGUGGACUGGGCAUGAUGGAUAAUGUCUUACCUGCUAAUUCUACUUUCCUAUCUACCAACAUAUCACUCAGCAGCAUGGAGUGUCUGAGAGAGUUUAUGCUUCACCGUAAGCUCGGCACCACCAGAUUCAUUAUUUGUGACGAAAGUGUAGUGAACCUGUGGUCGUCGCUAGUGGAGCGAGUUGUUCAGCAACAAACAUGGCUACAACUUGAGUUGACAAGUAGUGGUGCUCGAGGUCCUCCAAUCUCAUGCCACCUCGACGAUUCUUCAGGGGCACCCGUACCAGCAGAAAGAAGCCUUUGUGCACUAUUCAGUUCUACAUAUGUUCAGAUGUCUCUAUUGCUUGCAUUUUUGCAUUGGAUGGCUUGCAAUUUAUUUCAGUCUCAACCCUACAAUCUUAACAGUAUGAGAGAGAGCAUGUUCAUGGAGAGCAACCAGGGCCAUCAUUGCAACUAACGCGACAGAAGUGUGGUGACACUAUCCAUUGCUUAUUCAGUCGGGAAGUACAUGAACAACUUUGGAUUUAUUCACCACUGCCAGUGAUUACUUUGCAAACAUAUCAGAGGGCACGAUUUUGGCACCCAUUAUAUAUUCUUGAGUUUGGGUUCUACUUUGCCGCACCGAAAUCAUACUGAUAUUGGUCAUCUCUUGUGUGCCUUGCGCAAGUGGAGCAGUUGUCUGAGAGCAUUUUUCUUCUUAUGGCGAGUUUAUUAGCUCAUGGACUUUUCAACCAACUUAGUCUGACUUAGCUCGACAAGAUAGCAAUCAUUGCUCGCCCGCGCAAUGGCAUUGUCGUCGCUCCCCUCCUCCUGCUCCCCGCUGCCGCAACGGGGCUCCUGAUGAACUUGCUUACUUUUUCCCUAGUAUGCUGGCAUGGGAGCCUCUGGUUAUGGGCCAAAAUCAGAGCAAAUUAUAAUAUUCCAAAAGAGGUCAUGAAAACUUGCAUAACUCCAUUGACGAAGCUAUCAUGUUGAAGGUAUUGAUCAAGAUCAUAUCAGAUAUGUACCACUUCCACGCGCACCUGUGGUGGGAGAUCGAGAUCCAGUGUGGCCGCAACCACCCCAACGUUCCACGACGAAGAACAAGUCGUCCUCAUCCUCGAGCACGCGGCCCUUGGCGAGAUCAUUAAGAUCCUUCACGCCGCUGGCUGCUCAGUAAGGUUUUGUGUUUUCGAUUUUUUUGGACUUGUUAUGUAUUUCCCUGCACAUACAUUUAGAAAAACAUUAUAUAAGUACUGCAAUCUACAAACCAUACCCCUCCAUGCGAGAAUCAUAUUCUUACACUGGGAAUUUCUUCUAUUAAUUUAAUCUGAUAUUUACAUGGGCAAAAUAUCACUUUCCAGUAUGGGCUUGUAGUAA